CUUGCUUCUCUUGAGAGCGGCGGACGGGUGAGUAAUGCCUAGGAAUCUGCCUGGUAGUGGGGGAUAACGUUCGGAAACGGACGCUAAUACCGCAUACGUCCUACGGGAGAAAGCAGGGGACCUUCGGGCCUUGCGCUAUCAGAUGAGCCUAGGUCGGAUUAGCUAGUUGGUGGGGUAAUGGCUCACCAAGGCGACGAUCCGUAACUGGUCUGAGAGGGUGAUCAGUCACACUGGAACUGAGACACGGUCCAGACUCCUACGGGAGGCAGCAGUGGGGAAUAUUGGACAAUGGGCGAAAGCCUGAUCCAGCCAUGCCGCGUGUGUGAAGAAGGUCUUCGGAUUGUAAAGCACUUUAAGUUGGGAGGAAGGGUUGUAGAUUAAUACUCUGCAAUUUUGACGUUACCGACAGAAUAAGCACCGGCUAACUCUGUGCCAGCAGCCGCGGUAAUACAGAGGGUGCAAGCGUUAAUCGGAAUUACUGGGCGUAAAGCGCGCGUAGGUGGUUUGUUAAGUUGGAUGUGAAAUCCCCGGGCUCAACCUGGGAACUGCAUUCAAAACUGACUGACUAGAGUAUGGUAGAGGGUGGUGGAAUUUCCUGUGUAGCGGUGAAAUGCGUAGAUAUAGGAAGGAACACCAGUGGCGA
rnacentral:rRNA from 1 species